CACCGGCGCCCCGAGUGGCCAUCGCGAUUAUUGGGCCUAAAGCGUCCGUAGCCGGACGGGUAAAUCCUCUGUGAAAUCGUCGCGCUUAACGUGACGGCGCGCAGGGGACACUGCCUGUCUCGAGACCGGGAGGGGUCAGAGGUAUGCCGUGGGGACUGGUAAAAUGGUAAAAUCCACGGUAGGCCACCAAUGGCGAAGGCAUCUGACCAGAACGGAUCUGACGGUGAGGGACGGAAGCCAGGGGA
rnacentral:rRNA from 1 species